ensembl:lncRNA
CGAGAGGGAGUCAAGACAGCGUCCAAAUGAAAGCGAGAGGGAGUCAAGAUGGAGUCCAAAUGAAAGCGAGAGGGAGUCAAGACGGAGUCCAAAUGAAAGCGAGAGGGAGUCAAGAUGGAGUCCACAUUAAAGCGAGAGGGAGUCAAGAUGGAGUCCACAUUAAAGCGAGAGGGAGUCAAGAUGGAGUCCACAUAAAGGUGCCGCAAAAUUUGUGCAACAGAAUCCACAUUGCCUGUCUGGUCUACUUUCCUGACGUAGGUCCAGAAACCUGUUUUGAUUUGAUGGUUUUGGCGUCAGUGAGACGGCGGUCUGUUUCAGGUGACGGUGUAAAGUCUGCUGAACAGACACGUCUGGAAAUAAAGAGAUCUAUUCAGCGCUUAAUGGUAAGCUUCCCAGAGGCUCUGGGGCAGAUUUGUGGUGGGCGAGGAGGAACAUUUACAAUGUAAAACAAGCCUGCUACAUGCUGCACGGCUCUGUCC